UACGUAGGGCGCGAGCGUUGUCCGGAUUUAUUGGGCGUAAAGAGCUCGUAGGCGGCUCAUUGCGUCAACCGUGAAAACCAGCAGCUCAACUGUUGGCUUGCGGUUGAUACGGGUGGGCUGGAGUUCGGUAGGGGAGACUGGAAUUCCUGGUGUAGCGGUGAAAUGCGCAGAUAUCAGGAGGAACACCGGUGGCGAAGGCGGGUCUCUGGGCCGAUACUGACGCUGAGGAGCGAAAGCGUGGGGAGCGAACAGG
rnacentral:rRNA from 1 species